CAGCCUCUCUAGCUUUUCUUUGGAAGGAGCAAGAAAAAAAUGAAGUACAAGAAACGGAAAGAACUAUUCCUUCCAGCCCAGAACACUGUCUCUGAACAGCAAGAUGGCUUUGAAACGCUUUCACAACGAAGGUAUCCCCCCUUCAGUGCAGGCAGAACUGGCGACUUGCUUCUAAUCAACAAAAUAUGGCAAAGUGGUGGAGUCUAGAAGUCUGAGAUCAGGGCACCAGCCUGGCCGAGUUCUGAUGGCGUCUCGCUUUGUCACCCAGGCUGGAGUGCAGUGGCGCGAUCUCGGUUCACUGCAACAUCUACCUCCCAGGUUCAAGUGAUUCUCCUGCCUUAGCCUCCCGAGUAGCUGGGAUUACAGGCACCCACCACCACAUCCGGCGAAUUUUUUGUAUUUUUAGUAGAGACAGGGUUUCACCAUGUUGGCCAGGAUGGUCUUGAUUUCCUGACCUGGUGAUCUGCCCACCUUGGCCUCCCAAACUGCUGGGAUUGCAGGCGUGAGCCACCGUGCCUGGCCGACCACUGAUCUUUUCACUGUAUCCACAGUGUUGCCUUUUCCAGAAUGUCAUAGAAUUUGAAUCAUACUAUAUGUUGCCCUUUCAGAUGAGUUUCUUUCACUUACUAAUAUUCAUUUGUUUCCUCCAUGUCUUUUGGCUUGAUAAUUCAUUUCUUUUUAUCACUGAAUAAUAUUCCAUUGUCUGAUGUACCACAGUUUAUUUACGCAUUUACCUACUGAAGGAUAUCAGGACAUCUUAGUUGCCUCUGAGUUUUUGGCAAUUAUGAAUAAAACUGCUAUAGAAAGAUGUGUGCAGGUUUUUCUGUGGAUAUAGUUUUCAACUCCUUUGGGUAACUCCAAGGAGUGUGGUCGCUGGAUCAUAUAGUAAGAGUAUGUGUAGUUUUGUAACAAAUAGCCAAAUGUUCUCCAAAGUGGCAUUAGCAUUUUGCUUUCCCACCAGCAAGGAAUAAGAGUUCCUGUUGCUCUGUAUCCUCACCAGCAUUUGGUGGUGUCAGUGUUCUGGAUUUUGGCCAUUGUAAUAAAUGUGUGGUGUUAUCUCAUUGUUGUUUUAAUUUGCAUUUGCCUGAUGACAUACAAUGUGGAACAUCUUUUUAUUGAAGCUAAUGUUUUAAGCCUGGCAAUUUAGUCUCUUCUCUUCCUGUAACCCUGAGCCACUGAGCACAGCUUUCUCCAGAAGCACCUGUGAGUCACUAUACACCACUGCUAUCUCCUGAAUGCUGGAGGCACUGGAGUGGGCCCUUUCAACUUUCAUUUUCUUAUUACCUAGAGAACUUGGCAUUGGUAGAUGCCCAAAAAAUGUAUGUGAGAUGCCUGCACAUUAAAAGACUGGCUGAAAACUUAAGCAGUAUACUGGUUUAGAUCAUUCAUCGCUGUCGGCAAGAGUAAAAAGCUAUGUAGCAGCAU
rnacentral:lncRNA from 1 species